rnacentral:rRNA from 1 species
CCUACGGGUGGCAGCAGUGAGGAAUAUUGGUCAAUGGGCGGGAGCCUGAACCAGCCAAGCCGCGUGAGGGAAGAAGGUACAGCGUAUCGUAAACCUCUUUUGUCAGGGAACAAAGGCGGGGACUAGUCCCUGGAUGAGGGUACCUGAAGAAAUAGCAUCGGCAAACUCCGUGCCAGCAGCCGCGGUCAUACGGAGGAUGCGAGCGUUAUCCGGAUUGAUUGGGUUUACGGGGUGCGCAGGCGGCCUGUUAGGUCAGCGGUAAAAGCCCGGGGCUCAACCCAGGCGAGCAUGUGAAACUGGCGGGCUGGAGUUGGAGAGAAGUACGCGGAAUGCGCGGUGUAGCGGUGAAAUGCUUAGAUAUCGCGCAGAACCCCGAUGGCGAAGGCAGCGUACCGGCUCCACACUGACGCUGAGGCACGAAAGCGUGGGUAGCGAACGGGAUUAGAUACCCGAGUAGUC